UAACGCGAAGAACCUUACCAGGGCUUGACAUCUGAGGAACCUUGAUGAAAGUUAAGGGUGCUCUUCGGAGAGCCUCAAGACAGGUGGUGCACGGUUGUCGUCAGCUCGUGUCGUGAGAUGUUGGGUUAAGUCCUGCAACGAGCGCAACCCUUGUCGUUAGUUGCUGCAAAGAGUACACUCUUUGUUUGCUCUCUAACGAGACUGCCGGUGAUAAACCGGAGGAAGGUGAGGAUGACGUCAAAUCAUCAUGCCCCUUACGAUUUGGGCUACACACGUGCUACAAUGGCGUAAACAAAGGGAAGCGACCCCGCGAGGGUAAGCAAAUCUCAAAAAUAACGUCUCAGUUCGGAUUGUAGUCUGCAACUCGACUACAUGAAGCUGGAAUCGCUAGUAAUCGCAGAUCAGAAUGCUGCGGUGAAUACGUUCCCGGGUCUUGUACACACCGA
rnacentral:rRNA from 1 species